rnacentral:rRNA from 1 species
AGGACGGCCAGCCACAUUGGGACUGAGAUACGGCCCAGACUCCUACGGGAGGCAGCAGUGGGGAAUCUUGGACAAUGGGGGAAACCCUGAUCCAGCGACACCGCGUGGGGGAUGAAGGCUUUCGGGUUGUAAACCCCUUUUCUGGGGGAAGAAUAAGGUUGGGAGGAAAUGCCCAUCCGAUGACGGUACUCCAGGAAUAAGCAUCGGCAAACUUCGUGCCAGCAGCCGCGGUAAGACGAAGGAUGCAAGCGUUAUCCGGAAUUACUGGGCGUAAAGGGCGUCUAGGCGGUUGGGUAAGUCACCUGUGAAGGCCCUCGGCUCAACCGAGGAAAGUCUUGUGAUACUGCCCAGCUUGGGUGUAGGAGAGGGGAGUGGAACUCACAGAGUAGCGGUGGAAUGCGUAGAUACUGUGAGGUACCCCGAUGGCGAAGGCAACUCCCUGGCCUACUACCGACGCUGAAGCGCGAAAGCGUGGGGAGCAAAGGGGAUUAGAUACCCCCGUAGUCCACGCCCCAAACGAUGUUCACUUGGUGUCGGCCGCAAAUAUAGGUCGGUGCCGGAGCUAACGUGUUAAGUGAACCGCCUGAGGAGUACGGCCGCAAGGCUAAAACUCAAGAGAAUUGACGGGUCCCCGCACAAGCGGUGGAGCACGUGGUUUAAUUCGAUAUUAAGCGAAGAACCUCACCCAGGCUUGACAUACUAGUGGUAGGAACCUGAAAGGGGGACGACCCUGCCUUCGGGUAGGGAGCUAGUACAGGUGAUGCAUGGCUGUCGUCAGCUCGUGUCGUGGGAUGUAGGGUUAAGUCCCGAAACGAGCUCAACCCUUGUCGUUAGUUGCCAGCGGGUAAUGCCGGGGACUCUAACGAGACUGCUGGUGAAUAGCCGGAGGAAGGCGGGGAUGACGUCAAGUCAUCAUGUCCCUUAUGCCUGGGGCGACACACAUGCUACAAUGGGGGGUACAGAGGGUCGCAAUACCGUAAGGUGGAGCCAAUCUCAAAAAACCCUCCUCAGUUCGGAUUGAGGUCUGCAACUCGACCUCAUGAAGCCGGAAUCGCUAGUAAUCGUAGGUCAGCCAUACUACGGUGAAUAUGUACUCGGGGAUUGUACACACCGCCCGUCACACCAACCGAGUGGGGGGUACCUGAAGUCGUCUCUAUGAGGCGCCGAGGGUAACCUUCGCAAGAGGGGUGAAGUCGUAACAAGGUA